UACGUAGGGCGCAAGCGUUGUCCGGAAUUAUUGGGCGUAAAGAGCUCGUAGGCGGUUUGUCACGUCGGAUGUGAAAGCCCGGGGCUUAACCCCGGGUCUGCAUUCGAUACGGGCAGACUAGAGUGUGGUAGGGGAGAUCGGAAUUCCUGGUGUAGCGGUGAAAUGCGCAGAUAUCAGGAGGAACACCGGUGGCGAAGGCGGAUCUCUGGGCCGAUACUGACGCUGAGGAGCGAAAGCGUGGGGGGCGAACAGG
rnacentral:rRNA from 1 species